rnacentral:rRNA from 1 species
AUGUCCUCCACCGGCGCCAUGCUCGCGCUCAUGCUGCACCUGCCCGUGCUCCACCGCGUUGUCACCGUGGGGUUCGACGAGCUGGACGGGGAGGUGCACGUGCCCGGGCUGCCGCCGGUACCGCCGGAGUGCUUGCCGUGCCCGGUGGUGGACAAGAAGAGCCCCAACUACACGUGGUUCGUGCGCCUCGGCGACAGCUUCAUGGACGCCACGGGGAUCAUCGCCAACACAGCGGACGGGCUAGAGCCGGGGGCCCUCGCGGCCGUCGCCGACGGCCGCGCCGUGGCAGGGCGCCCCGCGCCGCCGGUGUACCCCAUCGGCUCCGUGCUCUCGCUCGGCAGCAGCGCCAGCAAGAAGGAUUCCCCGGAGCCACCGCACCAGUGCGUCGCCUGGCUGGACGCGCAGCCGCCGGCGUCGGUGGUGUUCCUCUGCUUCGGGAGCAUGGGCUGGUUCGAGCCGGCCCAGGUGGUGGAGAUCACCGCCGCGCUGGAGCGGUGCGGCCACCGCUUCCUGUGGGUCCUGCGCGGCCCGCCUUCCUCCAAGUCCGGCGCCGGCGCGCCGGACGGGUCGGAGCACCCGACGGACGCGAACCUGGGGGAGCUGCUCCCGGAGGGGUUCUUGCGGAGGACGGAGGGCAAGGGCCUGGUGUGGCCGACGUGGGCGCCGCAGAAGGAGAUCCUGGCGCACCCGGCCGUGGGGGGAUUCGUGACGCACGGCGGGUGGAACUCGGUGCUGGAGAGCCUGUGGCACGGCAUACCGAUGGCGCCAUGGACCUUGUACGCGGAGCAGCACCUGAACGCGUUCGAGCUGGUCGCCGACAUGGGCGUCGGCGCGUCGCCGUGCCGCUCAAGGUGGACCGGAAGCGGGACAACUUCGUGGAGGCGGCGGAGCUAG